GAUGAACGCUGGCGGCGUGCCUAAUACAUGCAAGUCGAGCGAACUGACGAGGAGCUUGCUUCUCUGAGGUUAGCGGCGGACGGGUGAGUAACACGUGGAUAACCUACCUAUAAGACUGGGAUAACUUCGGGAAACCGGAGCUAAUACCGGAUAAUAUCUUGAACCGAAUGGUUCAAGAGUGAAAGACGGUUUUGCUGUCACUUAUAGAUGGAUCCGCGCUGCAUUAGCUAGUUGGUAAGGUAACGGCUUACCAAGGCAACGAUGCGUAGCCGACCUGAGAGGGUGAUCGGCCACACUGGAACUGAGACACGGUCCAGACUCCUACGGGAGGCAGCAGUAGGGAAUCUUCCGCAAUGGGCGAAAGCCUGACGGAGCAACGCCGCGUGAGUGAUGAAGGUCUUCGGAUCGUAAAACUCUGUUAUUAGGGAAGAACAAAUGUGUAAGUAACUGUGCACAUCUUGACGGUACCAAAUCAGAAAGCCACGGCUAACUACGUG
rnacentral:rRNA from 1 species